UACUGGAAACUGAGCCAAGGAUUAAAACCAGGUUUGCUGGAUACCAUCUUAAUACUCUGCCCUUUCUGCUGUUUGUCAUCUUUGACAGCAUACCUGCUGCUGUGCCAAAGCCAGGACUAAAGCAAAACCUCUUUCCACCUUCCUUCCCUGCAGAACAGGCACAAAAAUAUGAAACCCACCACCUGUGCUUUUGAGUGCUUCACAAGUCUGCCAGCACUGGGAUUUCAGUCUGCUGUUAAAUACGACGGAGUCUUCUCAGUCCUGGUCAAUGCACUUUGGUCUUCUAAUGAAAUAAUGAAUAAGAAGCUCACAUAGAAAACUGGUGUUUUCAAAGGAGUGGUUUCACUGAAACACCAACAUUCUGAAAAUGGUCAUUGUGAAGUGCCAACAAGCACUGAAUCUCAGCCUUUCCUUGGCCUUUCCUUGGCCUUUCCCUGGCCUUUAUGCCAAUGGUGGCAUAAAAAAAUAUUUUAAAAUAUAUUGCAAGAGAUACUACAAGCCAUCCAUCUUCCAUGCCACAUUAGAAAUAUCUGUAGGACACAGGAGAUAUGUUUAUGGUUUUUAUGGAAAACUUCUCCAAGCAGUGAUGGCUGUGACAACCUAUUCUGGACCCAUGGAUGUAAACCUUUCUCUCUCACCCAUCCCUUCUGGAGCCUGAGGAUGCUGAUGUUGCACAUAAGGAUAGCAACCAUUAGCUCCACAUUAGGAUAACAACCACAGCUAAGACUCAUGCUUCAAGCUUCAGUUGUAUUUAUCAAGUGCCUUCAUAAACUUUGACUCAACAGCUUUGAGGACUGGACAGGAUUUCUUCUGGCCAUGCUAGGGGAAGUUUACUGUCCUUGCUUCCCAUGGUGCAGUGCACCAACACUUAUCAACCUUUAACUGUACAGUCACAGCAGACAAGAAGCUUCCCAUUCUCUGCCGACAGCACUGAGUUUUGGCAAGAAGAAUAUUCUUUCCCAUCCUGGAAAGUGAUUAAAAUGUGACUGUGAUGAACAGAAGAUUGCACAUAAUCUCAGCAAAAUCUAUGAAAUGUGUCUUGGCUCUGGAAUCCAAGUGCAUUUACUCGCUCUUCAGAAAGUUUGGUUACUGCCUUCUCAGACACUGAUCACUAAUUAACAGAGUAAAUGAAGGUGACAACUGGCUCCUACUGCACUUGCUUGAAGACGACACAUUUAGGAAAGGAUCAGUUACAUUUAUUAACAAGGCACAGUUGGAUUAGGUAUAUUGGGUCUGGCUGAGAUGGAGCGCAUUUUCCCAUAGUACCCUCACAGUGCUGUGCUUUCUAUUUGUAACUAAAAAGGUAUUGAUAACACACCAGUGUUUUGGCUUCUGCUGAGCAGUGCUGGCACAGCACCAGCACUGUCUCUCCAAAAUUCUGCCUCCCAUCAGUAGGCUGGGGGUGGCAAAAUCUUGGGAGCAGACACAGCCAGGACAGCUGACCCCGACAGACCAGAGAUAUUCCAUACCAUGUAACAUUGGCUCAGCAACAAAAGCUAAGAGAGAGGAGGAGAAGGAGGCAGGGCAUUCAUUAUUACAGUGCUUUGUCUUCCAGGGCAAUUUGGGCAUCUCCUGCUUAUUGGAAGCAGAGAAUAAAUCUUCUGUAUUCCUUUUCUUCUGCCUAAAACCUUUGCUUUUGCUUUUAUUAAACUGAUUUUAUCUUGACCCACAAGUUUUUGCCAUCUUACUUUCUUCCUCCUCCGUCCUGCUGAGGGCAGAGAGUAUGAUAGAGUGACUUGGUGGUGUCCAGCAAAUGUCAACCCACCACAUCAGGAAAUCUGGUUUGCUCUGUAAGAAGCAUGAGACUGUAGGCUGAGAAUGUUAUAGGUUGUUAUACAUCUCUCAGUUUAAACUAAAAGCAGAGCUUUUAGCCAUGUUUCUACAGUCUCACGUCACUGUAUCACUCCUUUGAAUCCACCACAAAAAACAAGGAAAUGCUGCUUCAUACCACAUCCAUGUUGUAGGUGAUAACAUGGGGUGAGGUGGCAUCCCCAAAGAGUGAAUGGCAAAGAAGCACUUCAGUUGUGGUAUUGUGUAGCAAUAAUUUAAGUCCUAUUUGACUUACUCUUUUCUCCAUUUUAAUUGUGUCCUAAUCCAGCCCCAUAAUUUCUUGCAAUU